rnacentral:rRNA from 1 species
GACGAACGCUGGCGGCGUGCCUAAUACAUGCAAGUCGAACGCAGGGGGGACGGGUGAGUAACACGUGGGUAACCUCCCAUCAGAGGGGAUAACACUUGGAAACAGGUGCUAAACCGAUAAGGAUGGAUGGACGCGCGGUGCAUUAGCUAGUUGGGGAGGUAACGGCUCACCAAGGCCACGAUGCAUAGCCGGCCUGAGAGGGUGAUCGGCCACACUGGGACUGAGACACGGCCCAGACUCCUACGGGAGGCAGCAGUAGGGAAUCUUCCGCAAUGGGCGAAAGUCUGACCGAGCCACGCCGCGUGAGUGAAGAAGGUUUUCGGAUCGUAAAGCUCUUUUGUUAGAGAAGCGUUAUCUAACCAGAAAGCAACGGCUAACUACGUGCCAGCAGCCGCGGUAAUUC